GUGUCCUGCACGUUCCUGCAUGUGGCUAAAGAUGGUCAGGUGAACAUCUCCACCUGGGAGCAGGAGCAGGUUGACUCUCCCCACAGUGAUUCAGAGGAACAGUACAACUCUGAGGAGAGUGAGGAGAGCCUUAGCCAGGAGGAGAUGGAGGUGCCCUUUACUUGGGACCAUCUUACAGAGAGAGGGGUAACUGAUAUGUGAUCCGUGAGGCGUUUGCUAUUCAUCUUACCUGCAUCGACAAUCAGAACUUCUUGUUCGUUAUGGGGAAGAAGAUUGUGAUGCGUCUGUCAGCAGUUAACAACCAGGAUGCAGGUCGUGUACAGCUGGCCUACGAGGCUCUGAUUCAUUUCCUGAAGACUCCUUCUUAUCAGGACUCGAUUGCAGCAGAGCUCUCCGGGUGCUAUGU